CCCUUAGAUGUUCUGGGCUGCACGCGCGCUACACUGAUGCGAUCAACAAGUUUUUCCUAUGUCGAUAGACACGGGUAAUCUUUUGAACUCGCAUCGUGAUGGGGAUAGAUUAUGGUAAUUAUUAAUCUUCAACGAGGAAUUCCUAGUAGGUGCAAAUCAUCAGUUUGCAUCGAUUACGUCCCUGCCCUUUGUACACACCGCCCGUCGCUGCUACCGAUUGGUUGAUCUGGUGAAUUAUUCGGACUGCCGGCUGAAGGGGUUUCCUCAUCUGCCAGCGGAAAGUCUUGUUAACCCUAUCAACUAGAGGAAGCAGAAGUCGUAACA
rnacentral:rRNA from 1 species